CCAGGAGAGAAGAGACAGCCGUUUUUCCCUCCCCACCCCUACAAGAUGUGGAAGCGAGAGCGAGAGCAGAGAGUUACCAACAUCCUGGAUCCCAGCUACCAAGAGAGUCCAGUCUCUUGAGAGAGAGAGACGCGCCAGCUGCUUGGUAUAGUGCAGGCAGCUAGCUCUUUCAGCUGGAGGAGGAGGCUGCAGGAGAGAGAACUCCCCAGCUGAUGUGAUGUGGGACAUGACGUCUCCCAUGGCUGCUCUUGCCCUGUUCAGCCGGUGACGACGGUCCCGAGGACAGACACACAGACAGACAGCCCGUCGUCUCAGGGCUUGUUCCGGACCCUUCAGGUCAUUCUGUUGCUAGGUGUGGAGUGAGAGAAGGCAGGAAAUGACUGUAUUUGAUGGCAAGGAAAUGUUUUCCCAUUUUCAAUGAUUUGAAGAGAGCCUACAGUUUAAUGUUCAACUUAACCCAUUAAAUGUAGAAGAUGAGGAAGGAGAAGUAAGCGUGGAGUGGUCAAAGGGAUGCUCAGCCUCAUUGUCCUGUCAUUCUUGAAAUUCUUCAUCUCACCACCCUUCCGGUGUUUUUUAUUUGUCUAAUUAUGGUGGUGGUGUAUGGAAGGCUCACCUUCAGGAUGGGCAGACCUGCUGCCAGUUGUACCAAGGCCAAGGUCCACCAGAUGUCAGUACAAUAUAAAUAAUCCAAAUUGUUUUAUUUAAAAGCCAAAUAGAGAGACUAACAAAAGGUAAGUGCCAGCUAAUAAAGCAAUUUUACU
rnacentral:lncRNA from 1 species